rnacentral:rRNA from 1 species
AGUGAACGCUGGCGGCGUGCUUAACACAUGCAAGUCGAACGAGAACGGAAUAUAGCUUGCUAUAUUUGUCAGCUAAGUGGCGCACGGGUGAGUAAUGUAUAGAUAACCUGCCCUUAAGAAAGGGAUAACAGUUGGAAACGACUGCUAAUGCCCUAUAUGCCUUUAAUACAUAAGUAUGCAAGGGAAACGCUUUAGUGCUUAAGGAUGGGUCUGUAUGGUAUCAGCUUGUUGGUGAGGUAAUGGCUCACCAAGGCUAUGACGCCUAGCUGGUUUGAGAGGAUGAUCAGUCACACUGGAACUGAGACACGGUCCAGACUCCUACGGGAGGCAGCAGUGGGGAAUAUUGCACAAUGGACGAAAGUCUGAUGCAGCAACGCCGCGUGGAGGAUGACACAUUUCGGUGCGUAAACUCCUUUUAUAUAGGAAGAUAAUGACGGUACUAUAUGAAUAAGCACCGGCUAACUACGUGCCAGCCGCCGCUGUAA